rnacentral:lncRNA from 1 species
UGGCUAUCUCAGUAAUAUGAAAAAGGCACGACCAUUGGUCAUGAAGAAGGGAAUGGGUCAAGUGAAGAAGAUAAGAAAGUUAUAUGAAGAAAAGAACUGUAUACACCUGCCCACCCAAAGUAGAAGGAGUUCCUGGGCCCUUCUGUGUAAUUGGGUUAUGCCAUCUCGCCAGUUGCCGAGGAGAACUGAAUUCUUUGAACUUGUCAGUAAAGGAGAAUACGAUUGGAACAUCAAAAACCAUCGUGAUAUAUUUCGAACAAAUCAAGAAGAUAAUGAUUGUCACAAGAUUAUUAUUGAAAUAAUUUUGGCAUAUAGAGGAGAGAUCAAUGUUAAUGACAGCCUGUGACCUUGGAGCCGUGACCAAACCGUGGGAGAUCUCCAGACAGGUGGCAGAACUUGUAACCAGUGAGUUCUUCGAACAAG